AUUUAUAUAGUUUAAUUAAAACAUUAUAUUUUCAUUAUAAAAAUAAGUUAUAACUUUAUAAUUA
rnacentral:tRNA from 1 species